rnacentral:misc_RNA from 1 species
UGUUUUCAUGGGAAUGGGAGAACCGUUGAACAACUACUCUUCCCUGGUGGAUGCCAUACGAGUGAUGACAGCAUCUCCAUUUCAGAUCUCUCCUAGAAAAAUUACAGUCUCAACGGUUGGAAUAAUUCAUGCCAUUAACAAGCUCCACAAUGACAUCCCAAAUUUGAACUUGGCAGUCUCUUUGCAUGCACCGGUGCAAGAUAUCCGUUGUCAGAUAAUGCCUGCAGCAAGAGCUUUUCCUUUGGAAAAACUCAUGAAUGCACUGCAAGAAUAUCAAAAGAAAAGCCAGCAAAAGAUCUUUAUAGAAUAUAUUAUGCUUGAUGGAGUAAAUGAUGAGGAGCAACACGCCCAUCAGCUUGGGAAACUGCUAGAAGCAUUUCAAGUGGUUGUGAAUCUCAUACCUUUUAAUCCAAUUGGAUCAUUAAGUCAAUUCAUUACCAGUACAAAUCAGAAAGUCGCCAGGUUUCAGAAAAUAUUAAGGGACAUCUAUGAUAUUCGCACAACUGUUCGCAAGGAGAUGGGCCAAGAUAUAAGUGGUGCCUGUGGUCAAUUGGUGGUUAAUCUUCCAGAUAAACGCUCUAUCAGCAAUGCAGCUCCUCUAACAGACAUCGAGGAUAUUCGUAGGCAGUAGAGUUAUAGAAUUCUAUGUUAAAAGGAGAGACGAUUAGCAGCUCUAUCUACAGGAUCUAUAUUGCUUUCAGUCUCUGCAUUAAGUUGCUGUUAGUCCCUGCCAAUCUGUGGUUGUGGUUGAACUAAGUUGGAUCUCACUUUUCAGAAGGCUUUUGUGGAAAGGUCUUAAUGGAGGAGUGAAUGAUGCAUCACAAGCUCAAGGGAGAUAUAUGACGAGCUACCUUUCUAAUAUAUAUAUUUUUUCCUUUUCUCAAAUUAGGAAUGUAAUUUUUUAAAAUUAGAAAUCGCACUUCAAAGGCAUGGACGUGUACAAGAAAUUGCUUAAGGAGAUGUGUGUUCAGAAAAUAUUGUGCACAAUCAUGAAAUUGGAAGACAUCAUAAGCUAGGCUACUGAUGUUGG